GAGAUAGAGGUGCAGGGAACAUCAGUAAGCCGCGGAACACAGGCGAUCGCCGCCGCCGAAAGGGGACCCUGCCGAAGGAUCACGGAUCCGCCAAGGUCCGUCCUCCUGGGGCGCGGGAAAAGAUCCCGCGCACUGUCACAUGGAACGAUCUUGUGGAGCGCUAUCA
rnacentral:ncRNA from 1 species